rnacentral:rRNA from 1 species
AGCGAACGUUAGCGGCGGGCCUAACACAUGCAAGUCGAACGAGAAAGUCCUUCGGGGCGAGUAUAGUGGCGCACGGGUGAGGAACGCGUAGGUAAUCUACCCUCCGGCGGGGGACAACAUUCCGAAAGGAAUGCUAAUACCGCAUAAAGACCACGUUCACUACGGUGAGAGUGGUAAAAGGCGCCUCAAAGCGCCACCAGAGGAUGAGCCUGCGUCCCAUCAGCUUGUUGGUAAGGUAACGGCUUACCAAGGCUAAGACGGGUAGCUGGUCUGAGAGGAUGAUCAGCCACACUGGCACUGGAACACGGGCCAG